rnacentral:tRNA from 1 species
GGUGAAGCUCAAUUGUGGAGCACUUGCCUAGAGUGCAUAAGGCUCUGGGUUAGAUCCCCAGCACC